GACGAACGCUGGCGGCGUGCUUAACACAUGCAAGUCGAGCGGUAAGGCCCUUUCGGGGGUACACGAGCGGCGAACGGGUGAGUAACACGUGGGUGACCUGCCCUUAGCUCUGGGAUAAGCCUGGGAAACUGGGUCUAAUACCGGAUAUGACCUCAUGACUCAUGUUGUGGGGUGGAAAGCCUUGUGCGGCUAGGGAUGGGCCCGCGGCCUAUCAGCUUGUUGGUGGGGUAAUUGCCUACCAAGGCGACGACGGGUAGCCGGCCUGAGAGGGCGACCGGCCACACUGGGACUGAGACACGGCCCAGACUCCUACGGGAGGCAGCAGUGGGGAAUCUUGCGCAAUGGGCGAAAGCCUGACGCAGCGACGCCGCGUGAGGGA
rnacentral:rRNA from 1 species